rnacentral:rRNA from 1 species
GAUGAACGCUGGCGGCGUGCUUAACACAUGCAAGUCGAACGGAAAGGCCCAAGCUUGCUUGGGUACUCGAGUGGCGAACGGGUGAGUAACACGUGGGUGAUCUGCCCUGCACUUCGGGAUAAGCCUGGGAAACUGGGUCUAAUACCGGAUAGGACCACGUCUUGGAUGUUGUGGUGGAAAGUUUUUUCGGUGUGUGAUGAGCUCGCGGCCUAUCAGCUUGUUGGUGGGGUAAUGGCCUACCAAGGCGUCGACGGGUAGCCGGCCUGAGAGGGUGUACGGCCACAUUGGGACUGAGAUACGGCCCAGACUCCUACGGGAGGGAGCAAUGGGGAAUAUUGCACAAUGGGCGCAAGCCUGAUGCAGCGACGCCGCGUGGGGGAUGACGGCCUUCGGGUUGUACACUCCUUUCGCUAGGGACGAAGCGUUUUUGUGACGGUACCUGGAGAAGAAGCACCGGCUAACUACGUG